AGGAUAAACGCUGGCGGCGUGCCUAACACAUGCAAGUCGAACGCGCUUUCGUCUUCGGAGGAGAGCGAGUGGCGGACGGGUGAGUAACACAUGGGUACCUACCCCACAGUGAGGGAUACCGGCGAGAAAUCGCCGACAAUACCGCAUAGGCUUCUCUUUGGAGACGAGGAGAAGCAAAGUUGCGCAAGCGACGCUGAGGGAUGGGCCUGUGGCCGAUUAGCUAGUUGGGGGGUAACGGCCUCCCAAGGCUUCGAUCGGUAGCUGGUCUGAGAGGACGAUCAGCCACACUGGGACUGAGAUACGGCCCAGACUCCUACGGGAGGCAGCAGUGGGGAAUAUUGGACAAUGGGGGCAACCCUGAUCCAGCAAUGCCGCGUGAGUGAUGAAGGCCUUGGGUUGUAAAGCUCUUUCGGCGGGAAGAUGAUGACGGUACCCGCAGAAGAAGCCCGGCUAACUUCGUGCCAGCAGCCGC
rnacentral:rRNA from 1 species